rnacentral:lncRNA from 1 species
UCCUGCAAGAAGGAAAGAAAAUGGAAUGAUGGAUGAGCACGUGAGAACCUCUUACCAUAAGAGUUUUGUGGGGAUUUCUUCCUCUUAGAGCUUGUUCUCUUAAAAUAUCUUUGAUUCCAUUUAGAUAAAUGAAGAAGUAUAGAUCCAUCAUGAUUUAGGGGGUGGAAUUCAAGAGAUUUCCAUAAUCUCCUUUCUUGUUUGGACUUCAAUCUAUUGUGAUUUUCUUAUUUGGAUUUUAAUUUGUCACAAUCUCCAAUCUUGAUUGGAUCCCACCA